rnacentral:lncRNA from 1 species
AACAACUGAUUCCUCAUUGAGCAAAAAGACAACGCAUCGGAUGAAUGUGGGGAACUUCUGCAGGGACAAAGGAAAAGAUGCAAUGACCGGAGCAGAGGUUCAAGAUAAGGUCAACGAGGCUGUCGAGAGAGCGAUGGCUCGUCAGAAAGAGGAGAUGGCUCGUCAGAAAGAGGAGAUGGCUCGUCAGAAUGAAGAGUUUUGGCUCGUCAGAAUGAAGAGUUUAUGGCUCGUCAAAUGGCGCUUUUCCAACAAUACAACUCCGCAAUGCUCGCUCAAAAUCCGAACUUGCGCUUACCGGAGUUUCCGCCAAUCUUCAACAACGAUGCAGCGCAGAACAUUUAUACUCCUGGAGCGUCAUCUUCUAGAGCCGCCGCACCGCCUACUCAACUACCAACGCAAGAAACUACGACGCCACAAGAGGAGCACACCACUUCACAACCGCGCGGAAGAUCGAUAAUAUUCACGACAGAGGCGUUACGAAAGGUGGUCGGAACUAAAAAAAAGAAAAAGAGCG